UACGUAGGGUGCGAGCGUUGUCCGGAAUUAUUGGGCGUAAAGAGCUCGUAGGCGGCCUGUCGCGUCGGAUGUGAAAGCCCGGGGCUUAACCCCGGGUCUGCAUUCGAUACGGGCAGGCUAGAGUGUGGUAGGGGAGGUCGGAAUUCCUGGUGUAGCGGUGAAAUGCGCAGAUAUCAGGAGGAACACCGGUGGCGAAGGCGGAUCUCUGGGCCAUUACUGACGCUGCGGAGCGAAAGCGUGGGGAGCGAACAGG
rnacentral:rRNA from 1 species